AACAUCGCGCACCUGCGGGAACCUGCGGAAGAUCAUUACAGAGUUGCAAAACUCCCUAAACCAUUGUGAACGUUACCUAAACCGUUGCUUCGGCGGGCGGCCCGGGUCCUUCCCGGCGCCCAUCGGCCCUCGCGGGCGCCCGCCGGAGGUAAACCAAACUAUUGCAUUGUAUGGCCUCUCUGAGUCUUCUGUACUGAAUAAGUCAAAACUUUUAACAACGGAUCUCAGAUCGGAAGAGCA
rnacentral:misc_RNA from 1 species